CUAAAAACACGCAUUUGAGAUUUUCCGCAAAGGCUAUUGGAGAUGGUUCAGAUUCUUCCUCCGAAAGCAUUGUUAAAUAUGUUCAGAAUGCUCAGUGGGAAAGCAAUGAAGAUCGAAUUGCUCUGGUUGGCUUAGGAUUUGCGUCUAUUGCUGGAGUUUGGGCCUCGUUAAACCUUAUUGCGGUCAUUGACAGACUACCUGUGCUCCCCACUGUUCUUGAAUUCGUUGGAAUAUUGUUUUCCUGGAAUUUGUUUCUUAUAGGUCUGACAACAACCUUUGUUCUUCAGUGGUUUAUCUAUCGAUAUCUCCUAUUCAAACCAGACAGGGAAGAGUUUUUCAAAAUAAUAAAGGAUUCCUUAUCUGAUGUAUUGGGCCAGUAGCAUUUGGUGGCUGAGUUUCUUGUUGCUGAUAUUGUUAUAACUUGAAUUACUGAAGAUUUGUGUUUUGUUACAAUGACUGCAGUCAGGAUUGGGAGCUUCCAACAGCAUUUUAAUGGCUGCCAGAACAAACUCUACAAGAUG